AUCGCUGGGGACAAGAGGGAGAAGAAAAUGCUUUAUUAUUCAUGAGUAUUAUUUUGAAUUCCCUUCUUUUCAAUAAUUACUUGGUGGAAAUAAUAUCGAGUCUGGGGUCCUCUUGAGUUCCGCUGGUGUAUUACAAUGCCUAAAAUAUAUUGUGUCCCUGGAUGUAGAACAGGAUAUUAGAAUGAAGGGAAGGAUACGGGGAUUAUUCUUGGUGUAUUCCCCAAGAAGGAAGAUCUUGGUCAUGAAUGGACUCAAGCAAUUCCACGGUGGAAUUGAAAGCCAGGUCAACAUGAUAGAGUUUAGCAAAGCACUAUUCGAGGCAUGUUCCCAAUGAGAAAUCAAAUAGGACGAGUUGUGAGUUGUAUGGAACGUUAUGAAAUGAAGCUAAUGGGCUAGAAAAUCGUAUAUCUGAGCUAAAGUCAUAUUGAUGGAACCUUAUGAUUUACUGAUUCAAUGAAAGGAAGAAUCCGUCUUGUUCUAUGUCCUUGCGAUGACCACUUAUCCUCAUUUGAAAUACAGUCUCUUGGUUAAAUCACCUAUGACCUUUGAAGUGCAUGUUAAUGCAAGUUCUGUGCCCCUGAGACAUUUUUCUAAGUUGGCUCCACAGGUUAUCAUUGCAUCAACGAGUCAGAUAUGCAAUUUGAUCUUCGAGAAUAAAUCACUGUUCGGAAACAGUUAUGUCAACUGGAAUUUUUUAAAUCCAAACAAGGACCUAGGAAAUACUCCCAAGGCACACUUGGGCAUCAACGUCUUUGUAUAAACUUAUAUUGAGCGAAGGAAUUCUGAAAUUACCAUCUAUUCAGUGGUUAACGAGGCUUUCAAGCUGCUUUACAGUCGAUACAAGACUUAUUCCUCCAACAAUAAAAUAUUUAGAAUAAAGAAUCUCAACGAUAGAGAAAGAAUUGUAACCAUUAUUUUGGAUGAAGUAUAUUGGCAAUGUGGAAAAUCGGACAUUUUGAAAAAUGCCCUGGCCAUCUAUAAAAUUUCCCCUAGAGUGGUCAUUUUACGUUCCUUUACAUUGUCAGAUUGCGACUCAAAAGGAUAUUUUUUCUGGGCACCUUGGGUUCAUCUCACAAUGGAUAGCAUGGUAGCCUUCUCUUCAUUCGACAUCUUGUCGGGUUCUUAUGAAUCCACAGAUUUGUCCUUUACUUUUUCUAAAACUAUCGACUGCACCAUGUGUUAUCCAAUUCUAUCAGGGAUACAAUCUUGGAAUAAUCAUGGGAGACUUAGCAGUACACACGUAUCAACACAAAUAUAUUUUAUAUUCUAAACCGAUUUUUGGACUGAAAAAAUAUACUCGGACAAACUUACGAAACACAUUUUGGUGAAGAAAGAUAUAUUUCCGUCAUUCAAUCAUCAAAAUACUUCUAUAAUUAAGCUCAACGCCGGUGGAACAUUAAAAAAGUCAUUUAUAUCUUAACUUAAAGAAAAACUGGAUUUGAACAGCGUUCCAAAAGCUAUUGGGCCUGAACAUAAUCUCAAUUUCGGUUCAUAACUAAAAACUAUGUAGGUAUAAUACAAUUUAAAUAACAUAUUAAAAGCAUUAAUUAUGUUCUUUUGUAUCUAAUAAUAGUAUACUAAUAACUAUAGAUCACAACCAACAAGAAUUAUAAAAU
rnacentral:lncRNA from 1 species